CACACACACACACACAAGACACAAAACAGUCCAUUUCAACAGGACCUCCAGACUUUAACAAAAGGGGAGAAAUAAAAAAAAAACUGUUUCCACAGUGAUUUGAGGGGAGGAGAAAAGACGAAGCCAGACAAAAAGGGGGUGGGGAUGGAUGUGGUAAACAGAGAGAGAGAGAAAGAGAGAGAGAUAGAGAGAGAUCCAGACUGACAGAAAGUGUGGUGUGUGUGUGUGCCCAUCCCAAAAGACUCGUCAUACUGGAAAUCUCAAACACUGGAGGCCAAACACAGCAUGACUGCACAGCAGCUAGUCACUCAGCAGUUCACAACAACUGUGGGACAGGACCGAGCGCUCAAAACUUCACACAAGUCCAUGUGAGGAGGGUUACAGGGGAACAAAGCUGCAAACUAAGACUGGCUGAAGUCAGAAUGAGCGCUUCAGAGGAAAUGAUGGCGAUUCUCCAGAACGUCUGGACCAAACUGCAGGGUCUUCCUCAAGCCCACCCGCUCACGCAGACGGCGUUUCUCAUCAUGCUGCUGUUCUUCUUGACAUUCAUCGCUCUGAUCGUGACUGGAUGUGUUUAUGGCCGCUGUGGCUGCUGUAAGACAAGGACCAGAAACAGAGUCUCCGCCAUCUGAAACAUGGGCUACACAAUAAAGAGGAGGGUCCGAGCA
ensembl:lncRNA